UACGGAGGGUGCAAGCGUUAUCCGGAUUCACUGGGUUUAAAGGGUGCGUAGGUGGGCAGGUAAGUCAGUGGUGAAAUCUCCGGGCUUAACCCGGAAACUGCCAUUGAUACUAUCUGUCUUGAAUACCGUGGAGGUGAGCGGAAUAUGUCAUGUAGCGGUGAAAUGCUUAGAUAUGACAUAGAACACCAAUUGCGAAGGCAGCUCACUACACGAAUAUUGACACUGAGGGACGAAAGCUAGGGGAGCGAAUGGG
rnacentral:rRNA from 1 species